CUGAAUGAUUAGAAAUUUUUAACCCUGAUCUACACCAUGAAGAUCAAAACAGCGACAACAACACUCUAAUUUUUUAAUGACA
rnacentral:snoRNA from 1 species